AACGAACGCUGGCGGCAGGCUCAACACAUGCAAGUCGAACGCCCCGCAAGGGGAGUGGCAGACGGGUGAGUAACGCGUGGGAACAUACCCUUUUCUACGGAAUAGCUCUGGGAAACUGGAAUUAAUACCGUAUACGCCCUACGGGGGAAAGAUUUAUCGGGGAAGGAUUGGCCCGCGUUGGAUUAGCUAGUUGGUGGGGUAAAGGCCUACCAAGGCGACGAUCCAUAGCUGGUCUGAGAGGAUGAUCAGCCACAUUGGGACUGAGACACGGCCCAAACUCCUACGGGAGGCAGCAGUGGGGAAUAUUGGACAAUGGGCGCAAGCCUGAUCCAGCCAUGCCGCGUGAGUGAUGAAGGCCUUAGGGUUGUAAAGCUCUUUCACCGAUGAAGAUAAUGACGGUAGUCGGAGAAGAAGCCCCGGCUAACUUCGUG
rnacentral:rRNA from 1 species